rnacentral:rRNA from 1 species
GAUGAACGCUGGCGGCGUGCCUAACACAUGCAAGUCGAGCGAACAGACGAUGAGCUUGCUCCUCUGCGGGUGGCGGCGGACGGGCGAGUAACACAUGGAUCACCUACCUAUAAGACUGGGAUAAUUACGGGAAACCAGUGCCAAUACUGGCUAAUAUAUCGAACCGCAUGGUUCAAUAGUGCAAGGCGGUUUUGCCGUCAGUUAUAGAUGGUGCCGGGCCGCAUUAGCUAGUUGGUAAGGUAACGGCUUACCAAGGCAACGAUGCGGAGCCGACCUGAGAGGAUGAUCAGCCACACUGGAACUGAGACACGGUCCAGACUCCUACGGGAGGCAGCAGUAGGGAAUCUUCCGCAAUGGGCGAAAGCCUGACGCAGCAACGCCGCGUGGGUGAAGAAGGUCUUCGGAUCGUAAAACUCUGUUAUUAGGGAAGAACAACUGUAUAAGUAUCCACGCCUGUCUUGACGGUACCUAAACAAAAAGCAACGGCUAACUACGUG